rnacentral:ncRNA from 1 species
UGGUACCCGAAAGAUGGUGAACUAUGCUUGGCCAGGAUGAAGCCAGGGGAAACCCUGGUGGAGGUCCGAAGCGUUUCUGACGUGCAAAUCGAUCGCCAGAGCUGAGUAUAGGGGCGAAAGACCAAUCGAACUAUCUAGUAGCUGGUUCCCUCCGAAGUUUCCCUCAGGAUAGCUGGCGCUCGCUUCGAACGAGUUCCAUCCGGUAAAGCGAAUGACUAGGGGUGUUGGGGACGAAAUGUCCUCAGCCCAUUCUCAAACUUUAAAUGGGUGAGGUGCCGGGCUUGCUUCGCUGAAGCCCCGGACGAGAAUCGGAGUGCCUAGUGGGCCAAUUUUGGUAAGCAGAACUGGCGCUGUGGGAUGAACCAAACGUCGAGUUAAGGGGCCUAAAUGGAUGCUAAUUCCGAUCCCAUGGAAGGGAGUUGCUUGCUAUAGACAGCAGGACGGUGGCCAU